UCCACUACCAAAAUCAGCAUAUCCCCACCACUAAAAUGCUUUCAUCACUAACCCAUAUGAUAUGGGAAAGCAUCGCAUAUUUUGACAUUUUUACCUUUACUCUAGCUCCACUUUAAUAAUCUGAAAACAAAAGUCCUUGCAAUAAAGGCAGUCCUUUUGAAACUUUGACAGCCUGCUUUGAAGGGUUGUUCAUAGCCCACUGAAAAUUGCAAAGAACAGCUGGAACUCCACCUUUUCUUCGUACACACUGGCGGCUAGGAUUUCUUUUCUUCUUCCUUUUUUAUUUCUUUCUUUUCUUCUAGUUUUGCUUCUGCUUCUUCCUUUUUUUUUUUUUUUUUUUCUAUAAAUAGAGUAGACCCUCCCUAUGUAUUGCAUCUCAAAACAAACGCAGCUUCCUCUUUCUCGGCUGCCUACAGUAGCCUGUUCUAGGAGUUUUCAUUUGAUAGUUGUAGUAUCUUUUGAUAGCUAUAGCUAUAGUUCUCAAAACAAAGCUCGGCUUGCUUCUAGUUCUCGCGGAGUGCCUACGGAGGGUUGAAGGUGGUCGGAGGACAAGAACUUGGCUUGUUGCCGAUUUUGCUGAGCGCCGGUGGAGAAGUCGAGAUGAAUUUCGACAGAGGGAAGGAGUUUUGACAGCAAAAAUGUGGAGAUUCGAAGGAAUCUUGCAGCAUACUUUCAACCAGCAAAUAUCUUCCUACAGAAUUCGGGAAAAAAAAUUGGGAUAUUGUCGUUGCUCUCGUGAUUGCAGAAGCCGCAUCUGGGGAAGGGCGGAUUACUCCACAUAUUGGGGCCCAAUGGCGCCUCAGGGGCCUUGUUCCCUACCACGAGCGUCGAGAUAUCGCCGAAUUUCCGCUCCAGAUCAAAUUCUAUUGUGAACUUCUGUUCCCACUUCUUGAUUACCAUAUUCUCUUCUAUCAAAUGGCCGGGCUGUUGCAGAAACAUCGAGACUGCUAUUAACGGAACUCCUCCAAGUUGAUAGCCCCUUGCCCGUUGAGCCACCGCUAGCAGCCAUCCCAGCCCGAGAAGAUCGAGAGUAGUGUGCUCAGGGUUGAAAACAGAUGGAGUUCCCAACAUUAAUUCCUUCAAACCAGACCCACUAUCACAGCCUAAUCCUAAGAAGGUCAAGAGAAGCAGCAGCGGUGCGGCUCUUUCAGGAUUUCAACGGUGGUAUUUCGCGGAAGAUCCAAGUCUUCGGAGCGGCGGCGGGAGUAACUCCUUGUUGCUGCCCUGUUUCGCCGGAGCUACUUGCGCAGCGGCAGUCUCCAGAAGCGGUGGCGGAAGUGUGUGGGAGAUGGAGGCCGGAGAGGUCGAGGAAGUGAGGGUGACCAGCGGCGGUUGACGUCGGAGGAGGAAGGGCCUAGCGGCGGAUUUCCGAUUUGAGCUGAGAGAGAGUGAGAUCUGGUUCGUGUUGUUGAGUGGCGGACUGUUGGGAUCUCCGGCAUCUGCGAUGGUGGAGAGACGUAAUCCGGCGGCUGUGCUGGUUGGCACUUGCAGCGUUUAGCCGGAGGUCUGAGGCAGGCGGCGAUUUUUUGAAAGGAAGAAGAAUUUGCGUAUGUUUUGAGAGGUGCAGAGAGAAAGAGUCUAAUCCCUCAGUGGGCCCAUUUUGUCAAACCUUCUAUUCAUAGUUCAGGCCCAAUUUUUAAGUUACUUUAGACAUCAAAUCCAUUUCUAUAAGUGAAGCACAAAAACAAUUAGGCCAAAUUUUUUUUGAAUCAAUCAGCUGGACGAGAGCCAUUGUGUUUCCUCCAAUUUAUUACCAUUCACAUUUUUUUUUU